rnacentral:rRNA from 1 species
GACCGCCUGGGGAGUACGGUCGCAAGAUUAAAACUCAAAGGAAUUGACGGGGACCCGCACAAGCGGUGGAUGAUGUGGAUUAAUUCGAUGCAACGCGAAGAACCUUACCUGGUCUUGACAUGUACGGAAUCCUCCAGAGACGGAGGAGUGCCUUCGGGAACCGUAACACAGGUGCUGCAUGGCUGUCGUCAGCUCGUGUCGUGAGAUGUUGGGUUAAGUCCCGCAACGAGCGCAACCCUUGUCAUUAGUUGCCAUCAUUAAGUUGGGCACUCUAAUGAGACUGCCGGUGACAAGCCGGAGGAAGGUGGGGAUGACGUCAAGUCCUCAUGGCCCUUAUGACCAGGGCUUCACACGUCAUACAAUGGUCGGUACAGAGGGUAGCCAAGCCGCGAGGUGGAGCCAAUCUCACAAAACCGAUCGUAGUCCGGAUUGCACUCUGCAACUCGAGUGCAUGAAGUCGGAAUCGCUAGUAAUCGCAGGUCAGCAUACUGCGGUGAAUACGUUCCCGGGUCUUGUACACACCGCCCGUCACACCAUGGGAGUGGGGGAUACCAGAAGUAGGUAGGGUAACCGCAAGGAGCCCGCUUACCACGGUAUGCUUCAUGACUGGGGUGAAGUCGUAACAAGGUAGCCGUAGGGGAACCUGCGGCUG